rnacentral:rRNA from 1 species
UCGGGAAUUUUGGGCAAUGGGCGAAAGCCUGACCCAGCAACGCCGCGUGAGGGAUGAAGUAUUUCGGUAUGUAAACCUCGAAAGAAUGGGAAGAAUAAAUGACGGUACCAUUUAUAAGCUCCGGCUAACUACGUGCCAGCAGCCGCGGUAAUACGUAGGGAGCAAGCGUUGUUCGGAUUUACUGGGCGUAAAGGGCGCGUAGGCGGCGCGGUAAGUCACUUGUGAAAUCUCUGAGCUUAACUCAGAACGGCCAAGUGAUACUGCUGUGCUAGAGUGCGGAAGAGGCAACCGGAAUUCUUGGUGUAGCGGUGAAAUGCGUAGAUAUCAGGAGGAACACCCGCGGUGUAGACGGCUUCCUGGACCGUAACUGACGCUGAGAUACGAAAGCGUGGGGAGCAAACA